rnacentral:rRNA from 1 species
UACGUAGGGUGCAAGCGUUGUCCGGAAUUAUUGGGCGUAAGGAGCUCGUAGGCGGUUUGUUGCGUCGGCUGUGAAAUCCCGAGGCUCAACCUCGGGUCUGCAGUCGAUACGAGCAAACUAGAGUGUUGCAGGGGAGACUGGAAUUCCUGGUGUAGCGGUGAAAUGCGCAGAUAUCGGGAAGAACACCCGUGGCGAAGGCGGCUCUCUGGGACGGUACUGACGCUGAGACGCGAAAGCGUGGGGAGCGAACAGG